GAUGAACGCUAGCUACAGGCUUAACACAUGCCAGUCGAGCGACCGGCGCACAGGUGAUUAACACGUAUCCAACCUGCACUUUACUCGGGGGUAGCCUUUCGAAAGAAAGAUUAAUACCCGAUGUAAAGGAUGGGGAUGCGUUCCAUUAGGUUGUUGGUGAGGGAACGGCUCACCAAGCUUUCGAUGGAUAGGGGUUCUGAGAGGAAGGCCCCCCAGAAUGGAACUGAGACCCAGUCCAAUAUCGGACGGAGGGCAGGAGUGAGGAGUAUUGGGGAAUGAGCGUUAGUCUGAAUCAGCCAAGUGGAUGGAAGGAGGAAUGGUUAGGAGUCGUAAAUCACUUUUAUAGAAGAAGAUGUAUUAUAUGAAGAAGGAUCGGCUAACUCCGUGCCAGCCGCCGCGGUAAUUC
rnacentral:rRNA from 1 species